UGGCUCAGUUGGUAGAGCAUGGUGUUUGCAACGCCAGGGUUGUGGGUUCGAUCCCCAC
rfam:Salmo salar isolate Sally breed double haploid chromosome ssa24, whole genome shotgun sequence.